rnacentral:sRNA from 1 species
CUCUCUGGGUGCUAUCACGGUUUCAUCAUUUACUUGGAAGUGCUGCUCUGGAAGGCAUCCAUCUACCUGCUGCAGUUUGGAUUGGUUGCUGUGUAGGCUGCCUGCACAUCUGUGGUCCUGGGGGUCCUGUUGACCAUUAUUCUGGUGCCUGGCUGAGAAUGCUGGAGACGUUGCAUUUGUGAAAGAUGUCACAGUCUUGCAGAACACUGAUGGAAAUAACACUGAGCCAUGGGCUAAGGAUUUGAAGCUGGAGGACUUUGAGCUGCUGUGCCUCGAUGGCAAACGGAAGCGUGUGACUGAGGCUAGAAGCUGCCAUCUCGCCAUGGCCCCAAAUCAUGCCGUGGUGUCUCGGAUAGAUAAGGUGGAACGCCUGACACAGGUGCUGCUCCACCAACAGGCUAAAUUUGGGAGAAAUGGAUCUGAUUGCCCGGACAAGUUUUGCUUAUUCCGGUCUGAAACCAAAAACCUUCUGUUCAAUGACAACACUGAGUGU